GUGAGUAGUUCAGAGUUUGAUCCUGGCUCAGGAUGAACGCUGGCGGCGUGCCUAACACAUGCAAGUCGAACGAAGCGAUCGGAAGUUUUCGGACAGAAGAUUGACUGAGUGGCGGACGGGUGAGUAACGCGUGGGUAACCUGCCUUAUACAGGGGGAUAACAGUUAGAAAUGACUGCUAAUACCGCAUAAUGUUGUCGGAUGGCAUCAUCUGACAACCAAAGCUUUUAUGUGCUGAAAGAUGGCCUCGCGUCUGAUUAGAUAGUUGGUGAGGUAACGGCUCACCAAGUCGACGAUCAGUAGCCGGACUGAGAGGUUGAACGGCCACAUUGGGACUGAGAUACGGCCCAG
rnacentral:rRNA from 1 species